GCACAGCUUGUGUCUUGGAGGGUGGGUGGAGAGAGGAUGAAUUGAGAUGGAAUGGGAGAGAAGUUUUUUGAGGUACCUGGAACAUUAUCUAUAUAAGGCAGAUAUUUGGACUACCUAUCAAUUUGCCGAAAUCUAUCUCAUCACGCCCUUAAGAUUCUUCAAUUAAAUUUUAUCGUAAAAAAAAAUAGGGAAUAUCAACAAAUACUGAGUUCAAGUGAAUGGUACGUGUGGCAUAUGUGAGGAGACUAUAUUGACGGCUGACAUGUAAACCCUACUUUGGGGAGCUGAGGAGAGAGAUGUCUCGGUGUGAAAAGCACUUGCAAACAAGUGUGCAGACCUGAGUGCAAAUUCCAAAAACUCACAAAAAAGCCCGGCAGGAGAUCUCAGUGCUGCUCUGGUGAGAUGCAAGACACACGGGAGAAUUCCCUGACCUUGAAAGACAGCCUUCCUGGUGUACACAGCACAGCCUUCCUGAUGGACACAGCACAGCCUUCCUGAUGGACACAGCACAGCCUUCCUGAUGGACACAGCACAGCCUUCCUGGUGUACACAACACAGCAGCCAAACAACGAAGAGACCCAUUUGAGACAAGGUGGGAGGUGAGGACCAACACCCAAAGUUGUCCUGUGACCUUUAUCUGUGCUACAGACAGACAGACACACAGACAGACAGUCACACACACACACACACACACACACACACACACACACACACACACACACACACAAAACUGAUAGGAGGGUGGAAAGAAAAAUGAGAAUUUAGCCAAAUGUUCAUAAUAGAAUCUGGAUGGGAAGCAAAUAGAUGUCACUGACAUCCUUUCCAUGCUGUCCAUUUCAAUAUUUGCAUGAUAAGUAUUGGAAAUUAUCACAAGGCUGGAGCGGGGAGAAAGCAGAAUAGGGAAGAAAAUGAGGCAAAGAAUAUGAAAGAAAGCAGAAUGAAGCAAAGAAUAAGAACAGAAAGGAAGGUCGUGAACAGAAGUCUAGGAAAGGAAGUCAAAUUAGAAGAUGCUGAAAAAGAUGAACGGGAAUAAUGACAGGAAGACACAGAGAAAGAAAAGAAUGGCUAGGAAGAAAAGGUGUUGCAUGCAACAACAACAAAAACAAACAAAUAAAAAAAGAGCAAUUGAGAGGGGCAUAGCGAGGGAGGAGAGGGGCAGAUCUAGGCUGGUGGCGGGUCCAGCACAGGCCUGGCAUCGCUUCUAAACUCCCAGUUCAGUGGAGCUGAACUACGAACUGUACAGCCUGUCUCCCAGCUGUCACUCUGCUUCCCCUUGGCGCUGUGCUUGGCCAGAAUCUAGAUCAAGGAAGAAGAUGCCAGUGACUUUUGUGCUAAAGCCACUGACCCGUCCCACCCAAAGGCCAGAGGCACUCCGGUGGCCCGAGAUGGUUGUCAGCCUUCCUUGUUUAGUCACGAAUUCCUAUCGAUAGAAAUCUCAUGUUCUUAUGAAUUAUAAAAAUAUAUUCGGCAGAGGGGAGCAAUGCUGGUCAAUGUGGAGGUCAUAGGGACAGGGGGCUGCCAGCCAGCUGCUCAACUGACUGACCUACCUGGAGCUCACAGUUCAGGGUCUCCAUAGACAUCGCCGAAGACUUUUGAAUACAAGGGGCAAGUGGAAAGUCCUCUACAUCAAAACGCAGAAGACUCCUUCAUGUUUGUGCCACUAACAAACGGGGGCCGUCAAGCAAACCACAGAAGCACCCAGCCUCUUUACUUCACAUCUUUGCUAAGUACCCAGGGUCCAAGACUCAAAUGAGGCCUUACUAUGUACAUUUUAAGUACUUUUCAGGCACCAAAUUGUUGUGGUUUGGGUAUGAAAUGUCCUCCCAAAGUUUCUAUGUUAAAGGUUUGGUCCCUAAGACAAUGUUCAGAGGCAGGGUUUUAGGGAAUUGAUUGGGUUGAGGGCUCUGGUCUAAUCCCUGGGUGGACUUAUAGAACCCCAUACCAUUAUUGGGAGGAAACUAGGAAUGUGGCUUAGUAGAGUGAGCAGACACUGGCAGGGAAUCCUUGAAGUGUAUCUGGUCCCCAGGCCCGCCCUUUGGUUCCCUCUGCUUCCUGACCACCGUGAGGUGAGCAGCCUUCUUGUACCACUGCGCACUGCCCUGAUGCUCAGACUCAACCACAGCCUUGAAAGCAACACAGCCAGAGGCCCACGGAUGGACGGAAGCCUUUGCAAAAGUCUUGCCUCUUUCCAAUCAGUUUCCUCAGGCACUUUGCUAGACACACACACACACACACACACACACACACACACACACACACACACAAAACCAGCAAGUAGGACUCCUUUUCUCUCCUGUAGAUCUGUGUUGUGUGAUAUUUUGCUUGUGUUCUGACACAAAUAAAGCUUGCUUGAAGUCAGAAGGCGGAGCUAGCCCCUAGUUAACCAUAGAGGUCUAGUGGUCUGUACAGAGAGGAAACAGGAAGUGGUAAGGCAGGGUGGAGACAGGAUCUCCGUCCUUUUGGACUGGAGGAACAGAACAGGAAGGAAGCGACUGUGACUGCUCUCCUGUUUCUCUGAUCUUUUGGGGUUUUAAUCCUGUUUUGUUUUUGUUUUUUUCAGUUUUUUGUUUUGUUUUGUUUUGUUUUUUAAUAAGAUUAACUAGAUUAAUGCUUCAGAUCUGCCCAGAUGUUAGACUUCUGGUUCAAAAUGACCUCUAGCUAGCAACCCCCACAUCCUCCCUCAGACUUUCUCCCCUCAAGACCUAGAGACCUCCCAAAAGAAGCAAGCUCACUACAAUCGUAAGAUUACUUCUAAAAUGCAUCUCUGCUUCUGUCCACUUUGCCAGUUCAUUGGGAGCUGUGCUAGUUUGUUUUCUACUUCCCGUACAAACUGCCCAAGCUAUUGUCCCUGCGGUGUUUCAAUGAUGCUCCGUACCAAGCUACUUCCAGGACAUCCUCUGCCCAGCAACUGGCGAGAAGACUGUAAACUCCACAAGGAACACAAGCUUGAGCCGCUCCCCUAAAACACAGGCAGGAGGGACAGAGACCCGCAAUGGAAGAAACGUAAGAAAUGCCCCAGGGAACACCCUCCUGAGUUAAUGAGAUAUGUGCUGAUGAUAAGCGUUCAUUGUGUUCCAGGAACCAUCAAUGAAAUAAAAGUCAAAGUACUAAUAGAGUUUUCUACUUCACAUUAAAUACUAGAAUACACUACCUCUAAAUAGUUUUAAGUAGAAAAGGGUAUGACCCAAGAGUUUUAUGGCCAAUAUUGGGUAAGUGGAGAUCUCAGAAAAGAAAAAAACUCUUGGAUGUUCAGUUUCAGAAAAUACAUCACCUAUGCACCCUUCUUGAUAUGAUUAUUGAAGAUGGAAUCCAAUUCUAGAAAGAUGAAGGAGAACGAAAGCCUCAAAGGUGUAGAUAUUGUAAUCCAAAGGGACAAGAGAAGGAAAUCAAUUAAAACAGCAUUGAGCCUAACAGUACAAAUACAGCUGCAAGCCUUGAACAUUAAUAUUAAAAAUCACUUAAAGACAAGGUAUAGGGUGAAAUUCCAUUCAUCCAAAUAUAGAAGGUAAAUUUAUUGUUUUAACAGGUUUUUGAAGUGACAUCGGAAGACAGAAAAGGGAUGACAUCAAGUCACAACUUUGUCCAAUAAUUGGAAAGAUGUUAUUCACUAGUGACUGGCAAUAUAAGCUAAGAAAUAUUUUCUUUAAGUCUUAACCAAUAGUUUAAAAGAAGACAUUUACAUUCUAAAAAUAUUUUAAAUUAAAAAUAAAUAAUGUCUGUAUCCAAAAAAGCAUGGAAAUUUUUAGAAAACAUUAAAAAAUAGAACAAGACAAUAGACAAGGUACCAAAAGUGUCAGCUAUAACAAUAAAUGUCAAUAAUUUAAACUCUCUUAUUAAAAGAAAGUGAAUAGUCACAUUGGAUAAAAACCAUACAAAACUAUAUGCUUUUUAUUGUGUUAUUUGUUUCUUUGAGACAGUCUUAUGUCACUCAGGCUACUCUUUGAACUUAAUAUGCCAGUCAUGGAUAACUUAGAACUUCUGAUUCUCCUGCCUCUGGAUCUGAGUGCCAGGAUUACAGACUGGGUCCAUCAUAACUAGUUUAUGUGAUGCUGGGGACUGAACCCAUGGUAGAGUGUUUGCAUGCUAGGUAACUAAUCUGUAUCACCAGCCUCAACUGUGUGCUAACUAUAGGAAAGCUCAGAUGGUCUGUCCUUAUUAAUUGAUUAAAAGCCUUUGAAUCAUACCCUGAAAAUGAAUGAAUUUUUUAAAGAGCUUUUUUUCAUUUUGAUACAUAUUUUUUCAAGUCCCAGAGAAACAAAUUAUCCAAACCACAUAUUUUAACCAGAAUGUGAUAAUUUAAGAUACCCUGAAAUGUUAACAAAUUAGGUUAAUAAUUCAAUUGUUAAGUAAAUCACUGAACAAUUAAAGCUGUGGUUUAAGUUUUUAAUAACAACUCACAACUAGAAUCAAAAUCCAUGGGUGCUUAUGGCCAAAGCUGCACAGACAGGAAAGUGUAUAGCUCAAAAUGAUUUCUUUGAUUAGGAAAACAACGAAAAAUAAACCAAGAAUUCAAUGAAGGAAACUGGACAGUGAAAGGAGCCCACAGAAGUGCUGACACGGGCCCAGCAGGCACUGCGAGGCAGACGAGGCAGACAGCGCCAGGCUACCGAGAGCCUUUUGUAGCGCGCACAUGUGCCGCGCACGUUAUAAUGGAGAGGCAUCUCCACGAAAGGAGAAGAUUACAUGUUUUUUACAGCUGCUUCUGUGCAUUUCAAGAAAAAAAAAAAAAAAACAACUCAAUGUGCUCUCAAGCUUCAGGGAGGAGAUCACCUGUCAAGAGGGUGGAGCCUGCCACAGUUUUUGUGGAGAGCCCCAAUAGGAGGAGGACCUUCCCUCUGGCUCCAGGAAGCACUUCGAGAAGCAUCCUCCCAGUGUUUGGAACAGCCUGGUUGAGAAGCCUUCAAGUCCACUUCCGAAGUGUCUCUGAGAACACUGCACUGUCAUGGCAAGUUAGACAACAUCCCUUGCAUACAGCCAGGUAUAGUAGAAGCCCCAGCCAAGCAGGGCAAAGGCAACUCAGCCUCCCCAUCAUUAGCUCUUGAAUUUCCUGAUCUGAACCAUGACAUCUUUGCUUGAAAAACCAUCUCUCUCGCGAAGCACCAAGAGAACAAUUAGAGAUUAACCCAAGCACUCUCUCUUGCCAGCAAGUGCUGGUCCUCUCAGGGGACUAGGAGCCAUGUGUACCAAAGGUCUUUGUCUCUGAAACACCCUCAUCUGUGUUUUCCAUCUCAUUAGGAGAGACAUUUUCCUCCCACUGUGCCAAGGUCUUUCACAGCUAAGCAGCAUUUAGUAGCUGAAAUAGUAUUUUCUCCCACGUCCAAAGACCCUAUGAACACACUAACAUGUUUUCUAAAAAUUGAUUUAAAAACACUUCAAAUGAAAGCCACAAGUAGUGUGUUGCCAUUAUGAUUCCAGCCAGGCAUGGUGACACAUGCCUAUAAUCCCAAUUUAGAAGGCAGAGGCAGGAGGAUGACAAGUUCCAGGCUAGACUUGGGUCUCAUAUCUCAAGUUCAAAGCCAUUCUGAGCUACAGAAUAAGACCCUUUUUUAAAGCAGAAAUCCUUUACAUAUUGGCUUUUCUUGGAAUCAGUGAUCUCUAAACUACUUACAUUUGAUACAGUUACUGCAAGAAAAAAAUAAAGAGGGUAGGAAAAGGUUAGCAUGAUCUAUGUUAAUGCCCAACUGCUAAUUUGUACUCAGGGAAACUUUUGCUUGAACUUGAGACAAGGCUAGAAUCAAUGUGACUGCCAAUAAAAUGUUGUCUACAAAACUAUUCUUCUUAAGCAUCAUUUUUUUAAAACUGCAAUCUCCUAAGCUGCGACCUUCUCAAAUGGUAACUUCAUAACUGGGGCUAAGAGAUGAAUAUCAUAGUUCAAAUGAGUGUCACCUCAUCCCAAAAUACAGGAACUUUGUAAAGAGUAAACAAAAUUAUUGCAAAGCUCUUUGUUUAUCUAGAAUAAUGGGAUCCAUACACAAUAGUCCUCUGAGGCUGGCAGUAUUCCUCUGAGGUAGACAAGAGACAUGAAGAUUAUAAUUGAGGUGCAGAGAAGAACCACCUGCCCCAAAACACACGUUCAGUAGCAGAAAUCAGACCAAGUGCAUGCCUUUCUUUUCUUCUCUCAAGUCCUACACA